GAUGAACGCUGGCGGCGUGCCUAAUACAUGCAAGUCGAGCGAACAGACGAGGAGCUUGCUCCUCUGACGUUAGCGGCGGACGGGUGAGUAACACGUGGAUAACCUACCUAUAAGACUGGGAUAACUUCGGGAAACCGGAGCUAAUACCGGAUAAUAUAUUGAACCGCAUGGUUCAAUAGUGAAAGACGGUUGUGCUGUCACUUAUAGAUGGAUCCGCGCCGCAUUAGCUAGUUGGUAAGGUAACGGCUUACCAAGGCAACGAUGCGUAGCCGACCUGAGAGGGUGGUCGGCCACACUGGAACUGAGACGCGGUCCAGGCGCCUACGGGAGGCAGCAGUAGGGAAUCUUCCGCAAUGGGCGAAAGCCUGACGGAGCAACGCCGAGUGAGUGAUGAAGGUCUUCGGAUCGUAAAACUCUGUUAUUAGGGAAGAACAAAUGUGUAAGUAACUAUGCACGUCUUGACGGUACCUAAUCAGAAAGCCACGGCUAACUACGAG
rnacentral:rRNA from 1 species